rnacentral:tRNA from 1 species
GCGGGUGUGGUGAAAUUGGUAGACACGCUAGAUUUAGGAUCUAGUGCCGCAAGGCGUGGGGGUUCGAGUCCCUUCACCCGCA